GGAAGGGCUACUUUUUCAGAGUGUUACCGGAAAUUUUAGCAAGCGAUCGGUUGGUGUGUUUACAUAAGGUUUUGUUGUAAUUAAAUAUAUACGUAUAUUGGAGCGGUCUGCCCUGUAUUUGUUGAAGAGUUCCUGGGGUGAAAUGUCGUUUCAGCCUCAUCAUUGUGAACUAUGCUUGUAUGGGAUAAAUUGAUGGCAAGUAAAUGCCUUGCGCGGCGGAGUGAACCUUUACAUAACUUUAAAAAUAGUUUUUAACGUGUAUUUAAUGUCUACAAAAAGUUUUUUAGUGUCUUAAAAAAACAGAUGUCUUCUUGUUCUUAUGUUGUUGGGAUUUUAGGUUUUUAACAUGAAAUAUAAAUGGGUUUCAUUUUAGGUGAACCCAUUUUUUGCAGGAUUUUGAAUUUAAAGAAUGAAAUAAAUUGUGCUUGAUGUAGUAGUGGUGGAUCUCUAAGAAAAUGUUGUAGAAGCUGUGCUCGUGUGCCUUUCGGGAACACGUCAAAGGGAAUUAAAAUUUAUGGUGUACCUGUGAUGAAACGGGCAUGAUGCUGAGUGUUACACAGCCCAGUGAAGGACAUAUUAUUCCAAUUUUACCGGUUAGAAAAUUGGGGCACUGAGAAAAGUUAUAUAUCUGUUUAAAGAGAAAUUGCAAAUUUUGCAGUUCGAAUUUGGAUUCAAGUGUUGCUGUCUAAAGCCCAGUUCUUUGCAUCAUGCCCUGGGCACUGUAAAUAAAAAUGUAACAGUUCUUUUGCAAGAAAGAGCAAUUUGAAUUUGAAUUUAAAUGUUUCUGACAAACCCCAGUUCUUUGCAUCAUGCCUGGCGCUUAAAAGAUGUAACAUUUCUUUUUCAAAAAAGAGUUGUUAUGUCUACAGUGUACAGGUACAAUGUGAAUGUAAAUUGCAUGUUAUGACCCUGAAGGUUCAUUAUCUAUGUGCUUCAUGACUAAUAGCUAUGUUGGGUAGAUGUGUCAAAUAUUCAAAUAAGCAAAUAAAAGCCAACAGGCAUUGUUCUAAGCAUAUGCUGUGUAUUAAUUUGUUUCAUCCUCAUAAGUAUGAGGUUUGUACUGUUAUAUCCAUUAUACAGACUUAAAAAUGGAAACAGAAUUUAAGUUUUCUAAAGUCAUACAGCUAGUAAGUGGAGGAGGUGAGAUCCAUACCCAGGUAUUCUGGCCACAAGCCUAAAGUCUUAAUGCUAUUUGAUGCUUCCUCUCAUGUAACUAGACAGGAGCUACAGUUGCCUUAACCCAUUAAGUCCCAAAUUUUCAGUUCUGUGAAUAUUUCAAUAUAAUUAACACAAGUGUAUUAAAAUACAUUGGGAACCAUAGGGUGUACAUAGUACUACAUUAAUUACUAUUACAAUUAUAUUCUUAUUGCAUAUUAUAUGCUGUAUUUAAAUUUUAUAGGUGUUCCACAUCUGAAACAAUGGGACAAAAUGGGUUAAAGUAUAAGCAUUCUUGUGGUCAGGAAAACAGUGUCACCUCCAGAUGGAGUCAUUGUUGACAUAGCAUCUUUGCUUUUGGGAAGUGGAACUUGAAUUAAGCCUUGAAGUUGAAUAGAUUCUCCUAGGUGGAGAGACAGCAGGGUAUUGUGGGCAGGGAGCAUGAUAGGAGCCAGAGGCUCAAAUAAUACAAAGUCAGUGUUGAUUUGUAAAUGUGCCACAGAAGUAAAAAUGUCAAGAGCCCUGGGUCAGGCUCAGUGCUAUCUGUGGCCAUAUUUGGCAGCAUUGUAAUUAAUGCAAGUGGGGAAUUGUUUGAAUGCAAGAGCCUAUAAUAGUAGUAGGCCUGCUUUGGCUGCAGAAGGCCAGGUUUUAAAUAUUUUAAGCUUAGAACAAGGGGGCAAAUGGUAAGAGGUGACCUGACAGGUAGUCAGGGUCCAAAUUAUGUAAGGACCUUGUAGGG
rnacentral:lncRNA from 1 species